UUCGACGUAGUGAUGGUUCAGUCCAUUUAGGCCCAUUGACAUAACGAAAAAUAAGAGUUAUUGUUAUGUCUGCCUAUAAAAAAUAAUACUUGGGGGCUUAGCUCAGUUGGGAGAGCACCUGCUUUGCACGCAGGAGGUCAUCGGUUCGAACCCGUUAGCCUCCAUUGGACCGAGAGGUCCAGAGUUAGCACAUUGAAAACUGAAUACAAUCCAAGCAAAAACCGAGACAAUCAAAGAAGAGAUUGAAGAGCGACCGAGAAGAGAGAUUCUUGAGUAAGGUCAAGUAGAAAAGGGCGCACGGUGAAUGCCUAGGCACUAGAAGCCGAUGAAGGACGUAACGAACUGCGAAAAGCUUCGGGGAGCUGUAAGUAAGCUAAGAUCCGGAGAUGUCCGAAUGGGGGAACCCGGUGCAGGAGAUGCAUCAUUGCAUGCUGUUAAGGCAUGUAAGGGAAGACGCAGCGAACUGAAACAUCUAAGUAGCUGCAGGAAGAGAAAGAAAAAUCGAUUUCCUUAGUAGCGGCGAGCGAAGAGGAAAGAGCCUAAACCCGUUGAUUUAUCAGCGGGGGUUGUAGGACUGCGCAAGGCAGCUCAAAGGAUAGCAGAACUACCUGGGAAGGUAGGCCAGAGAGGGUGAGAGCCCCGUAAGCGAAAUCCAGCGAGCGCCGGCAGGAUCCUGAGUAGGGCGGAACACGAGGAAUUCCGUUUGAAUCCGCGAGGACCAUCUCGCAAGGCUAAAUACUAGCUAGUGACCGAUAGUGAACCAGUACCGUGAGGGAAAGGUGAAAAGAACCCCGGAAGGGGAGUGAAAGAGAACCUGAAACCGUGUGCCUACAAGUAGUCAGAGCACAUUAAAGUGUAAUGGCGUGCCUUUUGUAGAAUGAACCGGCGAGUUAUGCUGUGCAGCGAGGUUAAGUCAGAAAAGACGGAGCCGGAGCGAAAGCGAGUCUGAAGAGGGCGAGAAGUUGUGCGGUGUAGACCCGAAACCAAGUGACCUACCCAUGACCAGGUUGAAGGUGCGGUAAAACGCACUGGAGGACCGAACCCACGUAAGUAAAACUGCCGAA
rnacentral:rRNA from 1 species